AUGGCGACCAUAGCCACGAUGACCAUGCUCAAGCCCGCCAAGAUCACGGCCAGGUCGGCGCCUUCCUCGCCGUCGUUCAGCGCCAAGGUGGCGUCGCCGAGCAUCUCGCUGCGCAGCCUGCAGAAGAACGCGGCCAAGAAGGGAGCCCUGGCCGUGUCGCCGGCGGCCGCGGCCAUGGCGAGCGCCUUCUUCACCUCGCUGGCCUCGUCGGACGCCGCGAUGGCGUCGCAGCGGAUCGCGGACGUGGCGGCGGUGGCGCCCGCGGACGACAACCGGGGCCUGCUGCUGCUCUUCGUGGUGGCGCCCGCGCUCGGGUGGGUGCUCUACAACAUCCUCCAGCCGGCGCUGAACCAGCUCAAUAAGAUGCGGUCCGAGAAGGCGCUCGUCGCCGGGCUCGGCAUCAGCGCCGCCGCGGCCGCCGGCCUGGCCGCCGCGCCGGAGCCGGCCUCCGCCGCCGUGCAGGAGCUCGCCGCGCUGGCGGCGGUAGCGCCCGCCGACGACAACCGGGGCCUGCUGCUGCUCUUCGUGGUGGCGCCCGCCCUCGGAUGGGUGCUCUACAACAUCCUGCAGCCGGCGCUGAACCAGCUCAACAAAAUGCGGUCCAACUGA
rnacentral:rRNA from 1 species